rnacentral:rRNA from 1 species
AUACGGAGGGUGCAAGCGUUAUCCGGAUUUAUUGGGUUUAAAGGGUGCGCAGGCGGCGAUGUAAGUCAGUGGUGAAAGGCUGCCGCUUAACGGUAGGACUGCCAUUGAUACUGCAUUGCUUGAGUAUGGUUGAGGUAAGCGGAAUGUGUGGUGUAGCGGUGAAAUGCAUAGAUAUCACACAGAACACCGAUUGCGAAGGCAGCUUACUAAGCCAUUACUGACGCUGAGGCACGAAAGCGUGGGUAGCGAACAGGAUUAGAAACCCCAGUAGUCC